rnacentral:lncRNA from 1 species
CGAGGACGCCCCUGCCAAGCCCCUUUUACGUCCCGGCGGUCGCGAGGAGGUCCCCCGGGCGCGAAGAAGACGCCAGCCCACCCCAGCCGCCGGGGAGAUCGCCCAGGCCGCGCUCAGCCCCGCCCCUGGCUCUGCCCCCGCCGCGGAGCGGAACCCUCCAAGUCGCGGCCUGAGGAGGAAGGAAAAGGGGGCGGCCCGGGAGAGCCGCUGCGAAAUCAGCAACGGGCGGGAACCAGGUUGCCUCCCUGAGUCCCUUCUCUCCCCGGCCGGCUGCCAACCACAGCCAAGGCCAGAGAAACAGGCCCUUCUGCCGCGGCCACCUGGGCGCCUUGGACCCGCCCUCCGGACUCGCCCCCGCCCCUGCCGCGGAGUGGAACGUUUGGAACCCUGAGGGGCACAGACAGGAGGUCUUUCUGUGUUGCCCAGGAUGGACUCCAAUUUCCUGGCUCAAGCGAUCCUCCUGCCUCCGCCUCCCAAGUAGCUGGGACUACAGGUGCUUGCCUGGCUUGCUUCACCAUUUUCAGUAAGAACGAUCAUGAUGCUGCUCACUGAAGUCAGCAGACUUCCUUUGUGGGGUUAAUGACUGCAGUGUGUUUUGAGGAAAAACAAAACAAAACAAAAAAAAACUACUCCAAUAUUUUGAGGAAAUACUUCUUUAAAUACUGGCCUCUGCCCUGACACUCCUUGCCUCCUAAUAUUGGCACCACCUCUGUUUCCUUACAAUAGAGUCUCAGAACAUGGGAUCAAUCUUAGACCCAAAGGAGGAUGCUUCUCAGAAACACUCUCUGUCCUGCCGUACGUCUGUCUAAACUCCUCUAGCAAUUCCGAUGUGAAAAGAAGAUGGAUGGAGAAGCACUGAUUCAGCCAUGGCUGACAUGUCGGAGUUGGAAUGGACAGUGCCCGGACCUCACAGUCUCAGAGAACUGGAGAAGAGUAAAGCUGAAGAGGGCAUCAUCUGGUUACAAAUGACAAGUCCAGGGCUCCAGAACUCAGGCCAUGUAGAGAGGCCACAUGGGAACUGAGGUUCCUAGUCCUCAGCUUCCACUGAGCUCCCAGCCAACAGCCAGCAAUAACUUGCCAGAUGUGUGCACAGGCCAUCCUGGAAGCAGAGGAUCCAGCCCUCAGCCAAGAUGCCCCAGUUGAUUCCAUGUGAACUAGGAAUGAGCCCUCCUGCUGAGCUCUGCCCAAAUUACAGAUCUGUGAGCAAACUAAAUGACAGUUGUAUUAAGCUACACAGAAAUAGAUAACUGGAAUACCA